UCUAUAUAUUGAACACAAAAUAUACUACUUACAGUAUCAUACAACGCAUUACAUUGUUCAUAUAGUUUGUUUUUCUUUGCUCUUAAUGCUUGGCAUUCCGUUAAUAGCUAUAUUUUAUAUUCAGUUACCAAGCGAUAGCCUUGAGAGCAACCCUCCAGCAAUAGGUCCGGCGAUUGCGAUAAGCAAAUCAACAGCUUUAUCCAGAAUAUAUACAGCCACAUCCUUGAUCCAAUUCCAGGCUUUUGAAACAACUCUCUGAAACCACAUUCGCCAACUUUCAUCAGUUACACUUACGUGUAUUUUUCCGGCAACCAUUUGGACAACAAAUUUGUUUUGGCAAGAACCAG